GGUGGGUUAGCUCAGUGGUUAGAGCUUGGGGGCUUGCGACCACUAAAUACUGGGUUCGAAUCUCGCCAGAGACAGAG
rnacentral:tRNA from 1 species